rnacentral:misc_RNA from 1 species
AACUUUUAACAACGGAUCUCUUGGCUCUCGCAUCGAUGAAGAACGCAGCGAAAUGCGAUAAGUAAUGUGCAUUGCAGAAUUCAGUGAAUCAUCGAAUCUUUGAACGCACCUUGCGCUCCUUGGUAUUCCGAGGAGCAUGCCUGUUUGAGUGUCAUGAAAUUCUCAACUGCCUUUUAGGAUUUAUGUUAAGGGUGAGGUUGGAGUUGGAGGAUAAUUGCUGGCGCAACUGAGGUUGCUUGUUGGCUCCUCUUGAAUGGAUGAGCUUUUCUAAUGGGAUCAUAGCUAAGUAACACUAAUGUGAUAAUUAUCUAAAUUAGAUGUGAAGAGGCUCCUACAGAAAAGGUGUAUCUUGGGGAUAACAAACCCUUGACUUUGACAAAUCUGACCUCAAAUCAGGAAGGACUACCCGCUGAACUUAAGCAUAUCAAUAAGCGGAGGCU